AAUCUUCCGCAAUGGACGAAAGUCUGACGGAGCGAUGCCGCGUGAGUGAUGAAGGUCUUCGGAUCGUAAAACUCUGUGGGUAGGGGAGAACAAGUACCGGUGGAUUAUGCCGGUACCUUGACGGUACCUAACCAGAACGCCCCGGCUAGCUACGUGCAACCAGCCGCGGUAAUACGUAGGGGGCAAGCGUUGGCCGGAAUUAUUGGGCGUAAAGGGAACGCAGGCGGUUAUUUAAGUCUGUUGUGAAAUCUUGUGGCUUAACCACAAGCGAUAAUUGGAAACUGGAGGACUUGAGUACAGAAGAGGAAAGCGGAAUUCCACGUGUAGCGGUGAAAUGCGUAGAGAUGUGGAGGAACACCAGUGGCGAAGGCGGCUUUCUGGUCUGUAACUGACGCUGAGGCGCGAAAGCGUGGGGAGCAAACA
rnacentral:rRNA from 1 species